UAGUUGCGGGCGUGCUUACCAUGCAGUCGAACGAUGAUGCCCAGCUUGCUGGGCGGAUUAGUGGCGAACGGGUGAGUAACACGUGAGUAACCUGCCCUUGACUUCGGGAUAACUCCGGGAAACCGGGGCUAAUACCGGAUAUGAGCCGUCCUCGCAUGGGGGUGGUUGGAAAGUUUUUCGGUCAGGGAUGGGCUCGCGGCCUAUCAGCUUGUUGGUGGGGUGAUGGCCUACCAAGGCGACGACGGGUAGCCGGCCUGAGAGGGCGACCGGCCACACUGGGACUGAGACACGGCCCAGACUCCUACGGGAGGCAGCAGUGGGGAAUAUUGCACAAUGGGCGAAAGCCUGAUGCAGCGACGCCGCGUGAGGGAUGAAGGCCUUCGGGUUGUAAACCUCUUUCAGCAGGGAAGAAGCGCAAGUGACGGUACCUGCAGAAGAAGCGCCGGCUAACUACGUGCCAGCAGCCGCGGUAAUACGUAGGGCGCAAGCGUUGUCCGGAAUUAUUGGGCGUAAAGAGCUCGUAGGCGGUUUGUCGCGUCUGGUGUGAAAACUCGAGGCUCAACCUCGAGCUUGCAUCGGGUACGGGCAGACUAGAGUGCGGUAGGG
rnacentral:rRNA from 1 species